rnacentral:rRNA from 1 species
CCUACGGGUGGCUGCAGUCGAGAAUCAUUCACAAUGGGGGAAACCCUGAUGGUGCGACGCCGCGUGAGGGAUGAAGGUCUUCGGAUCGUAAACCUCUGUCAGGAGGGAAGAAGUGGUUAUAUGCGAAUAGUGUAUGACUUUGACGGUACCUCCAAAGGAAGCACCGGCUAACUCCGUGCCAGCAGCCGCGGUAAUACGGAGGGUGCGAGCGUUAAUCGGAAUCACUGGGCGUAAAGCGCGCGUAGGCGGCUUUUCAAGUCAGGGGUGAAAUCCCACGGCCCAACCGUGGAACUGCCUUUGAAACUGUAGAGCUUGAGUGUCGGAGAGGGUGGCGGAAUUUCAGGUGUAGGAGUGAAAUCCGUAGAUAUCUGGAGGAACACCGGUGGCGAAGGCGGCCACCUGGACGACAACUGACGCUGAGGUGCGAAAGCGUGGGUAGCAAACAGGAUUAGAUACCCGAGUAGUC